CCAUGCAAAUAUAGAAUAUUUGGUUUUGGUCCUUGGUAUUUUGUUUUAAUCCUUGUAAAAUCAUUUCAUAUUGAAAUUGGUCCCUAUAAUAUUCAUUUUAGUCCUCGUUUUGAGGGACUAAAAUCAAAUAUUCUACAUAUUACAAAGACCAAAUCCAAUAUGAUUUAAAUUUUACAAGGACUAAAACAAAAUACUAAGGACCAAAACCAAAUUUUUUAUAUUUGCAGGG
rnacentral:pre_miRNA from 2 species